UGAUGCAAAGGGGGGACCCAGGAGGGUAGUUCCCGCGGGCCUAUUGGACAUGGUCCGUUUCUGCUUGUAGGCGUCUUGGGGUAGGCAAAUCCGCCCCGGGGUUAAGCUGAGGAGUGGGAGAAGAGGAGGCUUCGGCCGAUUCGAUGGGGGUGAGCCCACGCUGGCGAGAAAAGCCUCGUUGCUAGUUAUAAUUGCGCCCGUACCGCAGACCGGCACUGGUAGGUGAUGGUAAGUACCAAUGGGAACGGAAGAACCUUCGUUAAGGAACUCGGCAAAUUCGAUCCGUAACUUCGGGAGAAGGAUCGCCCUUGGGUGUGUAGGAGUUCGCCUCCGAAGCACCUGGGGGCCGCAGAGAGCAGGCCCAGGCGACUGUUUAUCAAAACCACAGGUCUCUGCAAACGCGAAAGCGGAAGUAUAGGGGCUGACGCCUGCCCAGUGCCGGAAGGUUAAGAGGAGAGGUUCACGCCUUGAAUUGAAGCCCCGGUGAACGGCGGCCGUAACUAUAACGGUCCUAAGGUAGCGAAAUUCCUUGUCGGGUAAGUUCCGACCCGCACGAAAGGCGUAACGAUCUGGGCACUGUCUCGACGGAGGAUCCGGCGAAAUUGAAUUGACCGUGAAGAUGCGGUUGUCCCGCGGCAGGACAAAAAGACCCCGUGGAGCUUUACUGCAGUUUGGCACUGGGAGUGGGCCUGGGAUGCGUAGGAUAGGUGGGAGGCGUUGAAACCGGACUCGAGGGUUCGGUGGAGCCAACCUUGAAAUACCACCCUUCCUUGGUCUGCUUUCUAACUUUUGAGCAAGCAAAAGGACAGUGUCUGACGGGCAGUUUGACUGGGGCGGUCGCCUCCUAAAAUGUAACGGAGGCGCACAAAGGUUCCCUCAGGGUGGAUGGAAAUCACCCGUUGAGUGCAUUGGCAUAAGGGAGCUUGACUGUGAGACCUACAAGUCGAGCAGGGGCGAAAGCCGGUCAAAGUGAUCCUACGGUACCGAGUGGAAGGGCCGUGGCUUAUCGGAUACAAGCUACCCCGGGGAUAACAGGCUUAUCUUGCCCAAGCGUCCACAGCGACGGCAAGGUUUGGCACCUCGAUGUCGGCUCGUCGCAUCCUGGGGCUGGAGUAGGUCCCAAGGGUUGGGCUGUUCGCCCAUUAAAGCGGUACGCGAGCUGGGUUCAGAACGUCGUGAGACAGUUCGGUCUCUAUCCGCCGUGGGCGUAGGAAAUUUGAGAGGCGUUGCCCCUAGUACGAGAGGACCGGGGUGAACGGACCUCUGGUGUGCGGGUUGUUCCGCCAGGAGCAUUGCCCGGUAGCCAUGUCCGGAUCGGAUAAGCGCUGAAAGCAUCUAAGUGCGAAGCCGACCUCAAGAUGAGAUUUCCCACUGGAUUAACCAGGUAAGACCACAGGAAGACUACCUGUUUGAUAGGC
rnacentral:rRNA from 1 species